rnacentral:rRNA from 1 species
GAUGAACGCUGGCGGCGUGCCUAAUACAUGCAAGUCGAGCGAACGGACGAGAAGCUUGCUUCUCUGAUGUUAGCGGCGGACGGGUGAGUAACACGUGGAUAACCUACCUAUAAGACUGGGAUAACUUCGGGAAACCGGAGCUAAUACCGGAUAAUAUUUUGAACCGCAUGGUUCAAAAGUGAAAGACGGUCUUGCUGUCACUUAUAGAUGGAUCCGCGCUGCAUUAGCUAGUUGGUAAGGUAACGGCUUACCAAGGCAACGAUGCAUAGCCGACCUGAGAGGGUGAUCGGCCACACUGGAACUGAGACACGGUCCAGACUCCUACGGGAGGCAGCAGUAGGGAAUCUUCCGCAAUGGGCGAAAGCCUGACGGAGCAACGCCGCGUGAGUGAUGAAGGUCUUCGGAUCGUAAAACUCUGUUAUUAGGGAAGAACAUAUGUGUAAGUAACUGUGCACAUCUUGACGGUACCUAAUCAGAAAGCCACGGCUAACUACGUGCCAGCAGCCGCGGUAAUACGUAGGUGGCAAGCGUUAUCCGGAAUUAUUGGGCGUAAAGCGCGCGUAGGCGGUUUUUUAAGUCUGAUGUGAAAGCCCACGGCUCAACCGUGGAGGGUCAUUGGAAACUGGAAAACUUGAGUGCAGAAGAGGAAAGUGGAAUUCCAUGUGUAGCGGUGAAAUGCGCAGAGAUAUGGAGGAACACCAGUGGCGAAGGCGACUUUCUGGUCUGUAACUGACGCUGAUGUGCGAAAGCGUGGGGAUCAAACAGGAUUAGAUACCCUGGUAGUCCACGCCGUAAACGAUGAGUGCUAAGUGUUAGGGGGUUUCCGCCCCUUAGUGCUGCAGCUAACGCAUUAAGCACUCCGCCUGGGGAGUACGACCGCAAGGUUGAAACUCAAAGGAAUUGACGGGGACCCGCACAAGCGGUGGAGCAUGUGGUUCAAUUCGAAGCAACGCGAAGAACCUUACCAAAUCUUGACAUCCUUUGACAACUCUAGAGAUAGAGCCUUCCCCUUCGGGGGACAAAGUGACAGGUGGUGCAUGGUUGUCGUCAGCUCGUGUCGUGAGAUGUUGGGUUAAGUCCCGCAACGAGCGCAACCCUUAAGCUUAGUUGCCAUCAUUAAGUUGGGCACUCUAAGUUGACUGCCGGUGACAAACCGGAGGAAGGUGGGGAUGCCGUCAAAUCAUCAUGCCCCUUAUGAUUUGGGCUACACACGUGCUACAAUGGACAAUACAAAGGGCAGCGAAACCGCGAGGUCAAGCAAAUCCCAUAAAGUUGUUCUCAGUUCGGAUUGUAGUCUGCAACUCGACUACAUGAAGCUGGAAUCGCUAGUAAUCGUAGAUCAGCAUGCUACGGUGAAUACGUUCCCGGGUCU